AGUGAACGCUGGCGGUAGGCCUAACACAUGCAAGUCGAACGGCAGCACAGUAAGAGCUUGCUCUUACGGGUGGCGAGUGGCGGACGGGUGAGGAAUACAUCGGAAUCUACUUUUUCGUGGGGGAUAACGUAGGGAAACUUACGCUAAUACCGCGUACGACCUACGGGUGAAAGCAGGGGAUCUUCGGACCUUGCGCGAUUGAAUGAGCCGAUGUCGGAUUAGCUAGUUGGCGGGGUAGAGGCCCACCAAGGCGACGAUCCGUAGCUGGUCUGAGAGGAUGAUCAGCCACACUGGAACUGAGACACGGUCCAGACUCCUACGGGAGGCAGCAGUGGGGAAUAUUGGACAAUGGGCGCAAGCCUGAUCCAGCCAUACCGCGUGGGUGAAGAAGGCCUUCGGGUUGUAAAGCCCUUUUGUUGGGAAAGAAAAGCAGCAGGUUAAUACCCCGCUGUUCUGACGGUACCCAAAGAAUAAGCACCGGCUAACUUCGUG
rnacentral:rRNA from 1 species